rnacentral:lncRNA from 1 species
AGACCUGUUUUGUCAGACCACUUAAAGCGAUGCAUUGUUGGGAUUAUAGAUCGAGCAAGUCAUGUUCCCCCAUCCAACAUUUCAAGGGGUUUCGUAAUUGAAGCGAGUUGUCAACUUUUAGCUGCAAGCAAACUUUAGUGGUAAGUUUACUGUGAAGUAGGGAAGCAUUGUUUGUGAGUGUUGUUUUCAUUCCUCUGUUUUGUUUGUUCAUGCUUUAUACUAAACUUGGCCUGAAUGUGAGACAGGCAAAGAUAUGAACGUUGCGCAAACAAAAGAUAGUUUUAUAAUGAAGCCUAUUGAUCAAAGAGAGCGCACCAGAAACCGUAAUGAUAUUCAGACAAGUCGCAUGAAGAACAGAGAACGACAACGUAGGUAUAGGGCCCGUAAGCGUCUUGAAGCAGAUUUGAAGAAGUCUAGCAUCAUAAAGCAACCAACUGCACCAGAAGUAGAAGUGCAACGAAAUGAGUUCAUUUACACACCCCGUGUGUACUGUAAACGAGAUUGGAAAAAGGAUGCAAGGAGUGCUCAUGCUUUUAAGGCCCCUGAAUUUACCCAUAAUGGUUAUGCCAUCCCUACUCUUACGUCAAUCAGUGAGGGUCAAAGUGUGUUUUUGUCUGGAGCAGAGCUACAAUUAGAUAGUGAAUCCCGGUCUGAGAUAAUUGUGAACCAGAAUAACUGCGAAAUGCAUGUAUCUAAUUUUGGUCGAAGAGAUUGGAAAGCCGAUGCAAGAAAGAAGAAAAUCUAAGGCAGAUGGCCGAGGAGUCCUAACUAUUCCAUUUGUAUGGUAUGGUACUUUAUGGGUUUCAUGUCUGAAUUUUCAAGUUAUGCUCUUAAUGGCGUACAAGGGACGAGGAAACAGGAAGCGUAGACUCUAAGUUGAUUAUUGGGUUGCAUAUUCGGAAGCCUAACAAUGACAGAAACAAUCUCAAACCUUGUUACCUAUUGAGUUAGAAAACCAGGUAAGUGGUCAGACUCAUUAUAAUGUAUGAUAACUGUUAAUGAAGCAUAUAGAGAAUUUCACCAGAUGUUUCAUCUGUGAGGAUUGAUGGGAUUUCAAUGUCUGUGUGUUUUUCUUUUUUGGUUUGGACGAAUGUCGCUUCUUUUAUGCAGUGCUACCACGUCAUAAUGACGGGCAUGCCUUUGAUCUUCGUUGUAUGCUUAACAAGUUUCAAGAAAUGUGAAUUGACAUGCUCUUUCAGUAACAAUAAUGCAUUUUGUUGUGGUAGCUUCUGUCGCUGGUGGUGACAAUUUUCUUUUAAGUUGCUAUCUGUUGUGUGCCGAUCCCUGGGAUAAGGUUUUGUUAUUGUUGUAUUGCUAUCCGUUUUGCAUAUUGGCAUUGGCAGUUAGCUGCCUCAGUCACUAGAUUGUCUGUUUUCAAUCCUAAAAGAAAGAGAUUUGUUUGAAUUGUUGUAGAUCCUGUAUCGAAUAUAUAUCAACAUUCGGCCUUGAUUUCUCUCUAAUCAAAUGUGGUUCCAGCGGUUCAAUCGUUAGAAGACACAUUGAUUUGGAGAAAUGGUGUUAUUCAGUAGUAGUCUCUUUUCAAAAUAUUUUGGUUGCAAUGAAAAAAAUUCUUGUUGGUAUGGACUUGACAUAUAUUAUCACAUAGAAAGACAGAAUUUUUGUAAUUUGUAAUUUUUUUAGUUUAAUGUGUAAAAAAAAUUUCGGUUAAUCUUAGUUUACUAUCCUGAAGUUUAUUGGUUUUCAACAUUUCGUACAUCAAAUUUUUUUCGUUCCAGAAUGGUACCUAAGUUAUAAUUAUAGGACAAUUUCAUACUUCCGUUAAGCGUCUGUUAAAACAAGCAUUAACUUAUGACGUGGCACCUACAACAGAAUAAGAAGGAUAGGAAAGAUGGAGGAUUGCGAGGCUUGGGACGACGACUUCAAUUUUUAAUUUUUUAUAAUUUUUAAAUUUUAUUCAAUGUCCAUGCGAGUGUCACGUCACAAGUUAACAUCUAUUUUAACAGACAACUUAACGGAAGUAUGAAAUUGUCUCAUAAUUAUGACUUUAGAUACCACUUUAGGACGAAAAAAACUUGAUGUAUGAAAUGUUGAAAAUCAAGAAAUUUUAGGGUAGUAAAUUGAGAUUAACCCAAAAACUUUAUGUGUCAAGUGAUAAGUUGGGAAGACAAAAAAUGAAGGGUAUGAUAUUCACACAACUCAUUUUACUUUUCACACACCCUUCUAAUUUUCAACUGUCGAAUAUGAUGAAUUGAAGAAAAUUAACAGAUAAAAAUUAAUAAGGAGUGUGUAAGAAGUAAAAUGGGUGUGUGGAUAGCACCCCAAAAUGAAAAGGAAAACGAGAGAGAUUUAGCAUUCUCCAUUUUUUAAUGGGAGUCUUAAUGUUGGUACUGUUCACUUAUCGUUAAUGACAUUUUUACUUUUAAAAAAUCACUUAUAGUACUAUUCACUUACAACAUAUUUUUAUCAUUUUGAUUAAAACUCAAAGUUUUCAAGUCUUUUUCAUUAGUUUUUUUUAUUUAUUUAUUUUGGGUAGGUGAGAAAUGAUAAAACACGUGGGUAGCAUAACCGCUUGCAAAUGCUUCUUUAAAAACAUGCGUUGGCAUACCCGUUUUGAAAUGCUUUUUUAAAAAGCAUUUGUUUAUCAUAAGCGAUUUCAUGUCAAAGCACUUCUAUUUGAAUGAGGAUCCUUUCCGGAUUUCCUUUAUGUAGAUUCCGAAGAUUUUUUAAUCGUGUCCGUUCAUCAUACAUCAUGUGAUCAUUUUUCAUCAAAUAAUGCUUGUGUUCAAUUUUAAAUAAAAUAAUUUUAAAUGAUUUAUAAUCACACAUGAAUAUACGUGAUUAAAUGAUAUUCGGGCACAAAGACGAUUUGGAGAGGAUCCUCAUUCCUUCUAUUUGGAGUACAUCAUAAUUUUUAAGACAAAAUGCAAAUCCUAUAGAAAAGUACUUGAAGAAGUGCAUCAGGUGCUUCUUCUAGAAAAUAUUUCAAGUGUUUUUUCAACCUAGAAGCACUUAUAAAUUUUUCUAUCAACCGCAGUCAAAAGCACCUUUAAUGAUCUAAAAUGUUUUUAGUUAUUUUCAAUACACUUCCAAACAAUUUGACAUCAAUUAAGGUUUGAUUAGAAGUGCUUUUAAAAUAAUUGAAAUUGUUUUUUAUGGUAAUGUUUUUUAAACAAAUUCUUAAUUAAAAUGCAAGUAAAUCAUGAAAAAGUGGUUAAAGUGUUUCCUUAAAUAAAAAAUAAUAAUAAUAAAUAAAAGCAUAACCGGUGUUUCUCAUAAGAAACAUAUUUUCAGUCAUUUUAAAAAUAUUUGUAAACGAGACCCCAGAUUACUAGAUUAAAAGUAAAAUUUUUUUUUUUUUUUUUUGUCAAAGAUAGAGUAUUAAAAGUAAAAUAUUUAACAGUAAUGGAAAUCAAACCUGCGCAACCGUAACACUCGCUGUUAGACACGUCACAAUAUUUAUCUCGUGGGCCCUCCCUCCUCGCCUUUCUCAGACUGUCUUUGUCUCCUCCCGUUCUAACCACUUUUAGCCUCGCCCUCAACAACAAUCGUGCUAAGGGUUAGGGUUUCCGAUUCUUUCCUCUGGUUCUUCCGGCAAGUCUCUUUCGUAUUCUGUAAUUUUAUAGGGUUAGGGUUUUCAUUUCGGGCUUUCUCUCCAUGAGCGAUGUUCCCGACUCUCAGGUGAGUAAUUUACUGUUUCAAAUUUGAAUUUUGCUUUUAAAUUAUAGUUUAAAUCUCCGUAUUUUCAUAUGGUUCUUCACAUUGUUACCCAAUCUCAGUGGAAAUCCCUAAUUCAAUUGCUAAAUUUUGUGAAGUUUCUCUGUGUGUUUUCAUUUGGUUACUGAGCUUUUUUUAUUUUAUUUUUUUAUCAGAGCUUUGAUUUGUUAUUUGAAUUUCACUUCCAGUUUGUUUAUUUGAAUUCAGAAACGCCAUUUGGCUAGUUGAAUUUCAUUAGGGAUAUGUUCCUCUCUCUGCAUCUCUGUCUGCUUCCAUCUCGUCUGCCUCCUUGGUUGUCUCCUGCCUGUUUCUCGUUAUUCUGAGCGGUUGUUGGAAGCCCAAAUCGAGGAGGCUGUAGUCGAUUUGUUUCUCUGAAGCUCGCCGAAAUAGCUCAGGUAAUAACUCCCGAACUGAUUAGGGUUUGAUGUUGUCUGCCUUUACAAUAAGAUGUUUUGUUGUACAUUUUAGUUCUAUACUUUUAGGGUUUGAUUUUAUGGAAACUGAUUAUGUAUAGAACAUGGAACAGAAAACACAUAAUGUCAUAUUCUGUUAUUAGAAAGACAUGUGAUGUCAAUGUUUGGAUGAUCGUUAGCGAUUCAGUUGAUUAGUUUUUGCUGACACAAGGAGUUGAUAGUAACUUAGUACAGUAAUGUUAUAUAAUUGUGGAGGGCUAGCAUAAUACUGAAAAUGGACAUUGUUAUUGAUCUAGUAUGCUUUGUAGGUCUUUUUAAACUCAUGUUGAUCAACUAAUAGUCUUGCGAUUUUCGAGAUUAUUUGCUUUUAUGAGAUAACUGAAUGCAACUACCAAGUUUUGAAUUUUGUUAUUGAUUUCAAAUACAAUUUUCUCGUAGGUUUCCAACACAACUUGUGCGGCCAAGUAGCUCUGUAAACUUUCUGUAGUAAAAGCAGUUCAUUUUACUGCUCAAGUGUUCAUUUUAUUGGUUUUUCUAUUUGCUUUAGUAAAACUAUAUCGCACCAAGUUAAGGUAUUCAAUUUGAUGUGGUACUUUGUUGGUCUUUAUUAGAAAACAGUUUGUUUGGAUCCUAACUGAUUGAUAGUGAAGGACACCAACUUGUAGAAAUCAGAUACUGAAGGACAUCACAUUAUUAGAAAACCCCUCACCUGUGGUCGUUUGUCUAACUGUUUGCAAGUACAAAAUCAUGUACUAGAGAAGUGGUUUUGAUAUUGCUUUUUGUUAAUAUUUGUCCUUUUUUUACUAGAUAUGGCUCUAGAUAUCUUGUUUGCUUUUGUUGAUCCAAUUGGGAAGCUGUAUUAUGAUCUUUGGCCAAAGAUUGUAGAUGCUGCUGGUGUCAGCAUCUAUGUGUAGUUAGUUACUGUCAAUGUAGGGCCGAAAGAUUUUGUUUUUUUACAGUAGAUACCAACUAAAAUUUAUUUCAUGGAUUUUGUGUUAAUAUUAUUAUAUUUUAAUAAAUUUAUAAUUACUUAAUGUAACCGACGAUUAAAAAUAUUUGGUAUUACUAUCAAGUUGGAAUUGUGUAUGAACCAUGUCUUUCAAUAUGGGAGAAUUAUUGGUUUGGAUAUUUUUUUACAAAAGAUAACUCGUGGCAGCAUGGCAUAGAAUUUGCCACAAGGUAUACAACAAGUGUAUGUAAACUCCUCUAUUAGACAGCACGUGAUGCAUGUUGUUGAAAGAUAAUACCUUUUAACAAAAUGGCAUAGAAUUUGCUAAAAUGUAUACAACAAGUGCAUGUAAACUCCUUUAUUAGACAGCACAUGAUGCACAUUGUUGAACGAUAAUACCUUUUAACAACAGGGGAUUUAACAACGUGCAUGAUCCUCGACCAUAGGAAACCACACAUGUUGUUAAAUGCACUUUUCUUGAGGGUCUAAAGCAAAUUUUGAGAUGUCCUUUGUUCAGAUUUUAUUUUUUGCCCUUGAUGUAAAUUGAAACUUGCAUGAUCCUCAAUCAUACAAAACCGCGUAUGUAUAUCUCACAAAUGUGAUGUCUAAGGGAAGAGUAUGCUUGGCUGGUACUUUCGAUCAAAUGAAUUCCUGAUCAUGUUUUCUCUAUUGGUUUGUUAAGCAUGUGCAUUAAUUGUUCAUUUUCCAUAUUAUUCUUCAUGCUAGACCUAUUUUUGUCAAAUUUUUGUCAGACCACUUAAAGCGGUGCAUUGUUGGGAUUAUAGAUGGAGCAAGUCAUGUUCCCCCAUCCAACAUUACAAGGGGUUUCGUAAUUGAAGCUUGUUGUCAACUUUUAGCUGCAAGCAAACUUUAAUGGUAAGUUUACUGUGAAGUAGGGAAACAUUGUUUGUGUGUGUUGUUUUCAUUCCUCUGUUUUGUUU